rnacentral:rRNA from 1 species
UACGUAGGGUGCGAGCGUUAAUCGGAAUUACUGGGCGUAAAGCGUGCGCAGGCGGUUUUGUAAGCCAGAUGUGAAAUCCCCGGGCUUAACCUGGGAAUGGCAUUUGGGACUGCAAGGCUCGAGUGCGGCAGAGGAGACUGGAAUUCCUGGUGUAGCAGUGAAAUGCGUAGAUAUCAGGAGGAACACCGAUGGCGAAGGCAGGUCUCUGGGCAACAACUGACGCUGAGGAGCGAAAGCGUGGGGAGCGAACAGG